UAUUUGUGUGUUGUUCUAAUAUUACUGUAAAUAGUGACACACUUUUGCAUUAGAUUGCUAAUUUUAGAGAUUACAGUGUAUGUAUAAAAUAAUAAAAUAAAAAUUUUCUUGUUAUGAUUUUGUAGAAAGAGAUCUACUUGAGUGGUUCAGUGGUUGGCUGGUCUUAAACCUGGUCAGCAUGGAUAUGGUAAUGAAGGUGAUAGGGCAGAAAGUGGUGACCAGUUAAAUGAUCAGGAUGAAAGUGACGAGGACGAAAUCACCCAUGCUGUGCCAUUCAAGUGCAUUGGUGCUGUUCAUGAGAAACAUUACCAAGAUCAUUUGUAACAGGCAUGCCUUGCAAUUCAUGGACAAGAUAAACCAGUGAAUGUAAGAAUACGUCCAAAGCCAUUGAAUCCAAUGGACCCAAGUGCAAUAGCAAUUGAUGUAGACUAUGGAACUGGAUGGACACAUGUGAUGUUGGCUAUAUUAUUUGCACCCACUAAUUGCUGCAUGAGAUAUCUUAGAGGUCUAUGUUCAGCAUAUAAAGUAUAGGGUUGACUUUUUUAAAAUAGGAUUUUAUCCAAAAUUAUUCAUAAAGGGAUGUGGUGAGUGGGAACUCAAGUGGUAAGGAGGGGCAUGAGUGUAUGUCCACAGAUGUUUGUGAUAUAAUAGUAACUGACUAGGUUUAGCAAGUUAUAGAAAUGAUGUUAUUUAAAUUGGCUAACUUUUUAGAUUUUUUCAGCAUUUUUACCUUUCACUUUAUUGCCAAACAAAAAUGAAAAAUCAUUUAAUUUAAGUAGGUGUGUAUCUAUAAGAAAACAAUAUCUGUCAUGUGCACUUGUGCAACUCCCUCAAAAUAGCAAUAUUGCUUUUUUAUUGUGUAGGACACCAAUAUGGUUCUCAUUACCUAUAUCUAAACGUAAAAAAACAUGUGCUAUAAAUAAAUGCAUCUACCUAUUUCGUGACUGAAUAGAAUUUAUUUUGUCAAGCCAUGUAAUUAAUUUUGAAAUUGCUGUGACUUUAUGUAACCCUUCUGCAGGAAUUGAGCCUAAACCCUAAAGCACCAACCCCUAAAGCACCAACCCAUCCCCAACAAUAAAAUUACAUCUUACUGUCAAUUUGUCUUUGAAAUCUGACCACCAAUGUUUAUUUGUAAGUUCGGAAUGUAUGUUGUAAAGUUCGACUGCAGUUCGUUUUAAAGUUGGUUCUGUGAAAAUCGG
rnacentral:lncRNA from 1 species